rnacentral:snRNA from 1 species
GUGCUCACUUUGGCAUCACACAUAUAAAAUCAGAAUGAUACAGAGAAGAGUAGCAUGGCCCCAGUGCAAGGAUGAUAUGCAAUUGGUGAAGCAUUCCCAGCAAGA